rnacentral:rRNA from 1 species
UACGGGAGGCAGCAGUAAGGAAUAUUGGUCAAUGGACGCAAGUCUGAACCAGCCAUGCCGCGUGGAGGAUGAAGGCCCUCUGGGUUGUAAACUUCUUUUAUAGGGGACGAAAAAGGGUCUUUCUAGAUCAACUGACGGUACCCUAGGAAUAAGCACCGGCUAACUCCGUGCCAGCAGCCGCGGUAAUACGGAGGGUGCAAGCGUUAUCCGGAU